rnacentral:lncRNA from 1 species
AUGGGACUCAGGAGACAGGAGGCAGGGGGAGGCCUGGGGGGUGGGGGCGGCCGCCGGGCAUCUGGGCCUCUCCCUCCCCUGGCACCACCGCACCCCGCACCCCUCCCACACACACCCUCGCCGGAAAGUUCCCCAGCCCAGGCCGGGCUCCCAGGCAGCUUGGCACCGUGCCAGGCUCGCCGCCGAGCGCGGGCAGCCGGGUGGGGCGAGCGGCGGCGGCACCGAGGACAUGGCCGGGCGCCCUGGGCGCGAGCAGGACCCAAGGCCAGGAGGCCGGGGCCCAGAAGAAGGCGGCUGGUCCCAGAGCACCUCGGAGAAAGCGGACGCCUGUCUUGGCCUUUGGAAGACGCUCAAGGACCACGUGGCCGGUCCACGGUCUCUGCCCUGCGCCUCGAGGGCGAGGCAGCCCAGGUCUUGCCCUUCUUGCCGUCCACUUCGCCCCCAGCCGACGCCUGGAGCUUGAGGUGACUGAGCGCUCUCAGGUCUGUGCGCUUUUGAAUGUUGAAGAUCAGAGCUCCCCACCCCCGCCCUCCCGGAAGGGAUGUACACACUCUGGUUACACGUGCACGUGUGCUCCUGUGCACACGCCUGCACGGCCUCUGGAGGACGGGAGCCGGGCGGGCCCUUCUCACACCGUUGCUUGGGCUCGGCUCUGUGCGCUGCCUCCGUGGCUCUGCCCUCCCGCCGGAGACGGGGCCUGUAGGGAGCCGGGCGGGCCCAGGCGUCUCCCCAGGGAGCCGGUCUCGACCGUCUUCUGGGCUCCCUCCUGCCGCAGGUGAAGUGAAGCCGCCUUUGCGAGGAGGCAGCUGUCACGGGUCCGAGCUGGGAGGACCCGUAACUCCCUGGAAUUUCCCAGCAUCUGUGGGGUCGGGCAGCGCUCAGGGGCUCAGCAAGUGAUGGGGUCUCAACCCGGCCCUCCCCCGAGAGCCAGCCUCACUGUGGCCUGUCGGGCACACUUGGCUGCUUCCAGCCUCCUGGGGAGUCAGUGCAGCCGUGAGGGUCAGACCCAGAGUGGCAUCCAUUCCCCUCCCCCACUCCUGCCAUGGCCAGGGGCAGGCCUGCCUCCCGGGGCUGGGCAGAGAGGACCUGGGAUCCCUCUGCCAUCGGGGCCUCUCAUGUUGGUAGGUCCAGCUUGCCCACCAGACUCCACAGACGCCAC